AACGAACGCUGGCGGCAGGCUUAACACAUGCAAGUCGAGCGCAUCCUUCGGGGUGAGCGGCAGACGGGUGAGUAACGCGUGGGAACGUACCCUUUCCUACGGAAUAGCACCGGGAAACUGGAAUUAAUACCGUAUACGCCCUUAGGGGGGAAGAUUUAUCGGGGAAGGAUCGGCCCGCGUUGGAUUAGCUAGUUGGUGGGGUAAAGGCCUACCAAGGCGACGAUCCAUAGCUGGUCUGAGAGGAUGAUCAGCCACAUUGGGACUGAGACACGGCCCAAACUCCUACGGGAGGCAGCAGUGGGGAAUAUUGGACAAUGGGCGCAAGCCUGAUCCAGCCAUGCCGCGUGAGUGAUGAAGGCCUUAGGGUUGUAAAGCUCUUUCAGUAGGGAAGAUAAUGACGGUACCUACAGAAGAAGCCCCGGCUAACUUCGUGCCAGCAGCCGCAGUAA
rnacentral:rRNA from 1 species